CAUGUGAAAGAAAAGGGAGAGGACUGUAGCAGAUAAGACAGUGUAAUUAGUUCUUGCAUCUGAAAACUGUAUCUAUAUGGUAUACAUCUGAUUAUGACAUCUAAGCAGUGAGAGAGAAUAUUGAGGAUUACAAAAAGCAGUCUUCAAAGCAACAUCUAGUUUAAAAGGGUAUAUGACGUGGAAGAGCAUCUUUUUGCUCAAUGGGCUUAAGUAAUUUUAUAAGCAGACCUUGGUUAGCCUAGGGUGAAAAAGGCAGAGUUUUCUAUCACUGUUUGGAUAGAGCUUGCUUGGUGCUGACAAAGUUGCUAGCAUCUGAUGAAUAUUUAAUAUUCACAUGAGAAAUUAAUUUCCAUAAGAAAAAAUGGUCCCCACACAAGCAUAUCAGAAGGGUUCUAACUCCCUCAAUUAAGAAGUGCCAGUUACUCAAUGGCGGAGAGAUUAACCCCUCCCUUUACCAUGAGGACAGAGGUCAGCAGUAUGCUGUUUGCAGGGACUAAGAAAUGCUUCUGCACAGCUCUUCUUCUGAGUGUGAAGAGAGGUCCCAAGGUCAAGAGGACAGCCUCAUUUGCUGCACUCCAAGUAUACAGGAAGCAGUUCCUGAAGACAGGUGGCUACCCUGCAGCUGCUCUGGUUUUUAAGCUUGUGUUCCUUAAUUUAAAAUUAGAAUCUGGCUUCAAAACAAAACCUGUGUGAACGAUCAAAUUAUUUGGUUUUCUUCAGUUGUUUUGUGGGUCUCCCCUUCACUUAGUCCAUGGGAUUGCCUCCUUCCUCUCUUAUGGCAUAUCCCAGUUUUUACUUUGUUCCAUAACAGCUGGAUAGGCAAAAGGCACGGCUGUGCUGAGGCUGUUUGCAGGUGUUGCAGAUGCUGUCUGGUUAAGCAGCAGGACCAGCAGAGCAGAGAGUUAAUGAGCUCACACUGCACCUUUCCUUCAGGGGAGGCAUUAAUAACAGCAUCUGCUUUAUUUUGUUGCUGUCCCUUUUGUGGCGUGAUUAACCAGUCUCCCACAGGUUUUCACCAGCCUUUUAAGAACUUACUGACACCUUUAGUGUUCCUCAAGUUUGAUUGGAAUUGGCCAGACUUCUGGGUAGGAGACAAUUUUAAAGUAUUUCUUGUUUAUUAGAAAUUGUUUUAAAUAGUCUCUUAAUUCCUUAAAAUUUAACAGGAAAAAAA
rnacentral:lncRNA from 1 species